rnacentral:rRNA from 1 species
GACGAACGCUGGCGGCGUGCUUAACACAUGCAAGUCGAACGGAAAGGCCCUGCUUUUGUGGGGUGCUCGAGUGGCGAACGGGUGAGUAACACGUGAGUAACCUGCCCUUGACUUUGGGAUAACUUCAGGAAACUGGGGCUAAUACCGGAUAGGAGCUCCUGCUGCAUGGUGGGGGUUGGAAAGUUUCGGCGGUUGGGGAUGGACUCGCGGCUUAUCAGCUUGUUGGUGGGGUAGUGGCUUACCAAGGCUUUGACGGGUAGCCGGCCUGAGAGGGUGACCGGCCACAUUGGGACUGAGAUACGGCCCAGACUCCUACGGAAGGCAGCAGUGGGGAAUAUUGCACAAUGGGCGGAAGCCUGAUGCAGCAACGCCGCGUGCGGGAUGACGACCUUCGGGUUGUAAACCGCUUUCGCCUGUGACGAAGCGUGAGUGACGGUAAUGGGUAAAGAAGCACCGGCUAACUACGUG